GUUAAGCGACUAAGCGUACACGGUGGAUGCCCUGGCAGUCAGAGGCGAUGAAGGACGUGCUAAUCUGCGAUAAGCGUCGGUAAGGUGAUAUGAACCGUUAUAACCGGCGAUUUCCGAAUGGGGAAACCCAGUGUGUUUCGACACACUAUCAUUAACUGAAUCCAUAGGUUAAUGAGGCGAACCGGGGGAACUGAAACAUCUAAGUACCCCGAGGAAAAGAAAUCAACCGAGAUUCCCCCAGUAGCGGCGAGCGAACGGGGAGGAGCCCAGAGCCUGAAUCAGUGUGUGUGUUAGUGGAAGCGUCUGGAAAGGCGCGCGAUACAGGGUGACAGCCCCGUACACAAAAAUGCACAUGCUGUG
rnacentral:rRNA from 1 species